GUGGGGAAUUUUGGACAAUGGGCGCAAGCCUGAUCCAGCAAUGCCGCGUGCAGGAAGAAGGCCUUCGGGUUGUAAACUGCUUUUGUACGGAACGAAACGGUCCGGGUUAAUACCCUGGGCUAAUGACGGUACCGUAAGAAUAAGCACCGGCUAACUACGUGCCAGCAGCCGCGGUAAUACGUAGGGUGCAAGCGUUAAUCGGAAUUACUGGGCGUAAAGCGUGCGCAGGCGGUUUUGUAAGACAGGCGUGAAAUACCCGGGGUCAGCCUGGGAAUUGCGCUUGUGACUGCAAGGCUGGAGUGCGGCAGAGGGGGAUGGAAUUCCGCGUGUAGCAGUGAAAUGCGUAGAUAUGCGGAGGAACACCGAUGGCGAAGGCAAUCCCCUGGGCCUGCACUGACGCUCAUGCACGAAAGCGUGGGGAGCAAACAGGAUUAGAAACCCGGGUAGUCC
rnacentral:rRNA from 1 species